AGGACGAACGCUGGCGGCGUGCUUAACACAUGCAAGUCGAGCGAGAGCCAGUUGAGGGGUAACCCUCGACUGGGGACAGCGGCGAACGGGUGCGUAACACGUGGGCAACCUGCCCCUGACACUGGGAUAACCCCGGGAAACCGGAGCUAAUACCGGAUACUCUCGGCCGAUCACAUGGCUGGCCGAGGAAAGGUCCGCCGGUCAGGGAUGGGCCCGCGGCCUAUCAGCUUGUUGGUGGGGUAACGGCCUACCAAGGCGACGACGGGUAGCUGGUCUGAGAGGACGACCAGCCACACUGGAACUGAGAUACGGUCCAGACUCCUACGGGAGGCAGCAGUGGGGGAAUAUUGCACAAUGGGCGAAAGCCUGAUGCAGCGACGCCGCGUGAGGGAUGAAGGCCUUCGGGUCGUAAACCUCUUUCGGCAGGGACGAAGCGAUCAGUGACGGUACCUGCAGAAGAAGCCCCGGCUAACUACGUGCCAGCAGCCGC
rnacentral:rRNA from 1 species